rnacentral:lncRNA from 1 species
ACAUAUAUAAAUACAAAACAAAUAAUGUAGUCAACUAUAAAUAAAAAUACAAAUACACAUACAAAAAUAUAAAAAUAAAUACAAAUAUGAAAACAGUCAACUAUAAAUACAAAUUAAAAAAAAUGAAACAAUGAAAAUUUAAAUUAUGAACUGAACUGCAAAAACAAAUUCAAUGAUACAGUCAACUACAAAUAUAAAUAUAAAAUAGAUCUAGCUGGCGACCAUGUCACUUUUUAGAUCUUUCCGACCAUGUUAUUUUCGAGAUCUCUUCUUGCCAUGGCCACCAGCUCCUUCAUUUGCAACAACUGCAACAACGCUACAACUACCCUCCCACAAUUCAACACCAACCGACACCUAGAUCAUGUAAAAUUAGCUUUGAAACAUCAAUAUUUGAAAAAACAGGAGAAAUAAAAAGUAAAAGAAAGAUAGAAGAGGAGAAAAUUUUAGGAGAUAAAAGAGGAAGAUGAACAUUAAAAUUUAGAAGAAAAAUUUGGGAAGCAGGAGAGAUAAAAAGAGGAAAUUAAAAUUAAAUUGAAUCAAUUGUAUUUGGUGUAAGUGUGGAUCCCCUAAAAGUAGUGCAAUUUUUGCUAUCUAAAAAAUUGUAUUAAAGUGUUGAUAUGUGGCCUAAUUAAAGGCUUAGGUAUGUUAAGGGGUAAAGUUUCCCCUAAAAUUUUA